rnacentral:rRNA from 1 species
UACGUAGGGUGCAAGCGUUAAUCGGAAUUACUGGGCGUAAAGAGCGCGUAGGCGGAGGGAUAAGUCCGGUGUGAAAGCCCACGGCUCAACCGUGGAAGGUCGCUGGAAACUCUUCUUCUUGAGGGCGACAGAGGGAAGUGGAAUUGCUGGUGUAGCGGUGAAAUGCGUAGAUAUCAGGAAGAACACCCGUGGCGAAGGCGGUUCUCUGGGACGGUACUGACGCUGAGACGCGAAAGCGUGGGGAGCGAACAGG